rnacentral:lncRNA from 10 species
GUCACCGCACAUGUGGUGGAAACAGCAAGAGAACUAGAAUUAGAAGUGGUGCCUCAAGAUGUGACUGAAUUGCCGCAAUCUCAUGAUCAAACUUGAAUGGAUGAGGAGUUGCUUCUUAUGGAUGAGCAAAGAAAAUGGCUUCUUGAAAUGGAUUCUACUCCUGGUGAAGAUGCUGUGAACGUUGUUGAAGUGACAACAAAGGACUUAGAAUAUUACAUAAAUGUAGUUGAUAAAGCAGCAGCAGGGUUUGAGAGGACUGACUCCAAUUUGAAAGAAGUUCUACUGUGGGUAUAAUGCUGUCAAACAGCAUCACAUUCUAUGGAGAAGUCUUUUGUGAAAGGAAAAGUCAAUCAAUAUGACAAAGUUCACUGUUGUCUUAUUUUGAGAAAUUGCCACAGCCACCCCAGCCUUCAGCAAUCAUCAACAUCAAAGCAAGACCCUCCAUUAGCAACAAGAUUAUGGCUCGCUGAAGGCUCAGAUGAUCAUUAGCAUUUUUUAGAAAUAAAGUAUUUUUAAAUUAAGGAGAGGUGCCCGAUGAGCUCCCAGUCAUGUGGUUCAGGGCGGGCUCUGGAAGACUCACAGAGGAGACUCCUCCGAGAAACCAAGAAGGUUUCUGUCCAAGUCGGGAUCUGCUCUGCUCAGGAUGCUCCUCCAACACACACAGUGAAAAACUGAGCACCUAGAGAGCAACACCAAAAACCCAUGGCCAAUAAUGGAGAGCCAAAUCAGGUGACAAGUUACCCCCAGACCCUAAAAUGCACGCGGUGGUGAUAGGGCACCAACAACCACAGAGUCCCUGGAAUUGAC